rnacentral:lncRNA from 12 species
UGUGCCUACCUUCCACUCAGGGUGUGAUCCUGGAAUCCCAGGAUUGAGUCCCACAUUGGGCUCCCUGCAUGGAGCCAGCUCCUCCCUCUGCCUGUGUCUCUGCCCCUCCCGUCUCUCUCUGUCUCUCAUGAAUAAAUAAAUAAAAUCUUCAAAAAUAAAAAGAAGACUGGGCAAUACAUAAGGGUUCCUUGUACUUUUUUCUCUAUUUGUACAUAGAGUGUGUACUUGAAUUUUUCCAAAUAAUAUUUUGAGGGGCACCUGGGUGGCUCCAUGGUUGAGCACCUGCCUUCGCCCAGGGCAUGAUGCUGGGGUCCUGGGGUCCAGUCCCCACAUUGGGCUCCCCGCAGGGAGCCUGCUUCUCCCUCUACCUAUGUCUCUACCAUUCUCUCUGUGCCCCUCAUGCAUAAAUAAAUAAAAUCUUUAUAAAUAAAAAUAAACAAAUAAUAAAAUAAAAAUUUGAAUUAAAAAAAGGACCACAUCCAAAGGUGUCUGACACAUACCAGGAUAAAUUCAUUCAAACUUGAGCAUUCAGACAGUGUGUUUAUGAUGAAAAAUCGUGUGCAAAAUAGAUACAUGUGCAAAAUAUUUUCAAGAAUCUGUUUGGGCUGCCAAUGUCAAUUCAGUAAAUUUUAGCAUGAACAUGCUAGGAUUACCUUGCGUCAGGAUUCUCCCAGAACUUUAGAGCCAAAGGUAAUCCAAGGAGACACUCUGUCAAUAUUUACACUCGAGUCUAUUGCCUCCUUGAUUCUGAUCUGCUAUUCCUGUUAUGUACUUUUACUAAUGCACUUUGUCGGUACUUGAUGCUGAUCAUCCUUUUUUACUGUUUCAUUAUUCCUCAUCUAUUAUUCUAUAACUGCCUAUUUUUCUCAAUCCGUGGGGAAAAAAAAACAUAUUCAGUACCAUUUCUUUCUGGUCUUUAAACAGAUAGCCUGAUGCACAUGGAGUUGGCUGUACUCAAGAGAGCAAGGUCUCUUGACUAUGUCUUUGCGCUCUCACUAGUUUGCAAGGUCUGUGAAGGCUGCAGGCACUUUUUCAUCUUUGUGUGUGUGGCUCCCAUCACAGCACCUACAACAUGGAAGACUCUCCCAACUUCUUCUUGUCACCAUCCUGCUUCUUUCUAUCCAUUUAGGACUGUUCAAGAGGCCAGGAAAUCACUAAACCCCAUGGGCUGGCAGCUUCUGAAGCCACCGCCAAGACUUCCACUGGGAUAUGCUUACCCAUCUGUGGGCUGCUAUGCUGGCACUGCCCAGUAACAGAUGUGGAGAGCCUGGAAGACCCGAAGCGGGGCGCCCCCACCCAUCAGGGGACCCAUGAGGAGGGGCACCCGGGUGGCUCAGUGGUUGGCCAUAUGCCUUCAGCUCAGGUUGCCAUCCCAGAGUCCUGGGAUUGAGUCCCACAUCGGGCUCCCUGCGAGGAGCCUGCUUCUCCAUCUGCCUAUGUCUGCCUUUCUCUCUGUGUCUCUCAUGAAUAAAUAAAUUUAAAACACAAGGAAACCCA